UAGGGAAUCUUCCACAAUGGACGAAAGUCUGAUGGAGCAACGCCGCGUGAGUGAUGAAGGGUUUCGGCUCGUAAAACUCUGUUGUUGGAGAAGAACAGGUGUCAGAGUAACUGUUGACAUCUUGACGGUAUCCAACCAGAAAGCCACGGCUAACUACGUGCCAGCAGCCGCGGUAAUACGUAGGUGGCAAGCGUUGUCCGGAUUUAUUGGGCGUAAAGCGAGCGCAGGCGGUUUCUUAGGUCUGAUGUGAAAGCCUUCGGCUUAACCGGAGAAGUGCAUCGGAAACCAGGAGACUUGAGUGCAGAAGAGGACAGUGGAACUCCAGGUGUAGCGGUGAAAUGCGUAGAUAUAUGGAAGAACACCAGUGGCGAAGGCGGCUGUCUGGUCUGUAACUGACGCUGAGGCUCGAAAGCAUGGGUAGCGAACAGGAUUAGAUACCCUGGUAGUCCAUGCCGUAAACGAUGAGUGCUAAGUGUUGGAGGG
rnacentral:rRNA from 1 species